UGGGGAAUUUUUCGCAAUGGGCGCAAGCCUGACGAAGCAACGCCGCGUGGAGGAUGAAGGUCUUCGGAUUGUAAACUCCUGUCGACCGGGACGAAUGCACUCGACCUAAUACGUCGAGCUGUUGACGGUACCGGUGGAGGAAGCCACGGCUAACUCUGUGCCAGCAGCCGCGGUAAUACAGAGGUGGCAAGCGUUGUUCGGAAUUACUGGGCGUAAAGGGCGCGUAGGCGGCCUUGUAAGUCUCGUGUGAAAGCCCUCGGCUUAACUGAGGAUCUGCACGGGAUACUGUAAGGCUCGAGUUCGGGAGAGGAAAGCGGAAUUCCGGGUGUAGCGGUGAAAUGCGUAGAUAUCCGGAGGAACACCAGUGGCGAAGGCGGCUUUCUGGACCGACACUGACGCUGAGGCGCGAAAGCUAGGGGAGCAAACGGGAUUAGAUACCCUCGUAGUCCCUGAGCGGGCUGGCAAGGCGCAU
rnacentral:rRNA from 1 species